GACGAACGCUGGCGGCGUGCUUAACACAUGCAAGUCGAACGGGCUCUGUCUGGCUGUGUGCUGGGUGGGGUUAGUGGCGAACGGGUGAGUAUACGUGAGUAACCUGGCCUCUUCUUUUGGAUAAGCCUUGGGAACGGGGGCUAAUUCUUGAUAUUUCUGUCUGGUCGGAUGGCUGGGGGGGGGAAGGUUUUUUCGGGGGGGGAUGGGCUCGCGGCCUAUCAGCGUGUUGGUGGGGUGAUGGCCUACCAAGGCGUCGACGGGUAGCCGGCCUGAGAGGGUGACCGGCCACACUGGGACUGAGAUACGGCCCAGACUCCUACGGGAGGCAGCAGUGGGGGAUAUUGCACAAUGGGCGCAAGCCUGAUGCAGCGACGCCGCGUGGGGGAUGACGGCUUUCGGGUUGUAAACCUCUUUCGUCGGGGGACAAGGCUCUGCUUGGUGGUGGGGUUGAGGGUACCCGGUGAAGAAGCGCCGGCUAACUACGUG
rnacentral:rRNA from 1 species